rnacentral:lncRNA from 1 species
CGGAGAGCCCGGGCAGAGCCCUGGGGGAGAGCCGUGGCCGCAAGCCUCUAGAGGCCCAGGCGAC